CACCCCGCGCUGCCUGCGCCAGCUGACUGUUGUCCUUCCCGCGCUCAGCGGGCCAGACUUGGACCCUUGUCCUUCUCUCGCGUCGCCAGCGCCUGGCUCAGGUUUGGCCCUGGGAAGGCUCUCUGGAAACACCUGUGGCGCUAGAGCUUGGCGACGGGCGACGCGGAAGGGACCGCGCGCUUCAGGCCACCAUCCCUGCCUGCGCCCCAACCCGUGCCAGGCGCUGGGGGAACAAUGAUGAAUGCGGAGCCCGCCGGCUUCCAGCGCAGCUCUGCCUGCCGCGCCCAGCGCCGGCGUUCCCUGUCAGGGGUUUGAAAAUUACCACGAAACUGCUUUUGUUUUACAAAUGUUGGGCCUUUUACAGAACUCACCUCCUACCUUUCCAACAACUCUAAUAUAAGCUCCAGGAUGUCAGAAAUUUUUAUCAGAUUUAUUUCACUGCUCUACCAUCAAGGCCUAGAAGAAGACUCUUCAUAUAAUAUGACUUCAAUGAAUACCUGUUAAAUAAAGUCUUCUUUCUAGUUC